AUUGAACGCUGGCGGCAGGCUUAACACAUGCAAGUCGAGCGGGGACUUCGGUCCUAGCGGCGAACGGGUGAGGAAUGCUUGGGAAUCUGCCCAGUAGCGGGGGAUAACGUUUCGAAAGGAACGCUAAUACCGCAUACGCCCUACGGGGGAAAGGGGGGGAUCUUCGGACCUCUCACUAUUGGAUGAGCCCAAGUCGGAUUAGCUAGUUGGUGGGGUAAAGGCCUACCAAGGCGACGAUCCGUAGCUGGUCUGAGAGGAUGAUCAGCCACACUGGACCUGAGAAACGGUCCAGCCUCCUACGGGAGGCAGCAGUGGGGAAUAUUGGACAAUGGGCGAAAGCCUGAUCCAGCCAUGCCGCGUGUGUGAAGAAGGCCUUCGGGUUGUAAAGCACUUUAAGCGAGGAGGAAUGGCUGAGGGUUAAUAACCUUCAGCAGUGACGUUACUCGCAGAAUAAGCACCGGCUAACUCUGUGCCAGCCGCCGCUGUAAAAC
rnacentral:rRNA from 1 species